AUUGAACGCUGGCGGCAGGCUUAACACAUGCAAGUCGGGUGGAGAUGAGGUGCUUGCACCUUAUCUUAGCGGCGGACGGGUGAGUAAUGCUUAGGAAUCUGCCUAUUAGUGGGGGACAACAUUCCGAAAGGAAUGCUAAUACCGCAUACGUCCUACGGGAGAAAGCAGGGGAUCUUCGGACCUUGCGCUAAUAGAUGAGCCUAAGUCGGAUUAGCUAGUUGGUGGGGUAAAGGCCUACCAAGGCGACGAUCUGUAGCGGGUCUGAGAGGAUGAUCCGCCACACUGGGACUGAGACACGGCCCAGACUCCUACGCGAGGCAGCAGUGGGGAAUAUUGGACAAUGGGGGGAACCCUGAUCCAGCCAUGCCGCGUGUGUGAAGAAGGCCUUAUGGUUGUAAAGCACUUUAAGCGAGGAGGAGGCUACUGAGACUAAUACUCUUGGAUAGUGGACGUUACUCGCAGAAUAAGCACCGGCUAACUCUGUGCCAGCAGCCGCGGUAAAAC
rnacentral:rRNA from 1 species